UACGUGAGGGGCAAGCGUUGUCCGGAUUUAUUGGGCGUAAAGAGCGUGUAGGCGGUCAGGUAGGUCCGUUGUGAAAACUCGAGGCUCAACCUCGAGACGCCGAUGGAAACCAUCUGACUAGAGUCCGGAAGAGGAGAGUGGAAUUCCUGGUGUAGCGGUGAAAUGCGCAGAGUAUCAGGAAGAACACCCGUGGCUAAGGCGGCUCUCUAGUACGGUACUGACGCUGAGACGCGAAGCGUGGGAGCGAACAGG
rnacentral:rRNA from 1 species